UUUGAAUUAUUUAAGCUCUGAUAGGAUUAGUGUAGUUGACCUUGAUGAAAGGGUGAAACCUGUGUAAUUAUAUGCACACAUCUAUCUAUACAUGUAUUUAUAAAAAAAGUACACGCGGCGCGCGCGCACUCGGUGUAUAACAUAUAAAAGUAAUAUUCAAAUUAUGUAAAUCAUUUCGUUUUAAUUAGAUACUUCAUACAUUUAGAAUGAGUAAUAUUUAAGUCAUUUAAUUUAAUUUAUAAAUCUAAUUCUAUAUGUUCCAUAUUAGUUCGUAGAUACGUACCCUCGCUUUCAGCCAAUAGGAGCGCAUAAAAACUAGGGAAAUUUUAUUUUUAUAAAAAUAUAUACAUGUAAUUGAGUUUUAUCUGAAUAGUAUCUUUUCUAUAUCACUUUUAUCGUAAUUUUUGAACUUCUAAUAGACAUUCGUUAAUUGAAGACAAGUAUAAAAAAAAAUAUUGUGAUUGUUCAUUACGAUUACCCUGAAAAAUAAUUUCUUAUCUUAUCGUUAGCCUGUCGAUUGCAUCAAAGCGUACAACGAGAGCUUACAUUAGCAAGAAAAAGAAAUAAAGCGAACAUAGUAAGAAAAAGAUCAAAAACUUAGAACUGUUGGCCGCUUUUAAGCGUGAGCGUCGCCAGCGGUACGGUAUUAUUAAUAACGCAUUUUGGUUGCACGACAUAACGACCAAGAAGUAAAGGAGGAGGGGGAAGGGGAAGAAAAGAAGAAUAAAGAAGAAUAAGAAAGAAAUAGAAGGAAAAAGAAGGACGCAAAAGAGUAAUAGAAGGAAGUAGAUAGCAGUCCAAAAAGAGGAGGAGGUAUUAUAUCAACGUGAACAAUUUAUAGUUAAUGUCGUUAAGAUUAGAACGCACGCGCGCCAUUUCUACAUAGAAGAAAAUCAUUUUGUUAGUCAAUCUACACUAUUCCCGCCCCACCCCUUAAUUCCACCCGCAAAUAUUGCAUUUUGAAAAAAUCGAAAAGGGAUAAAGAUAAUAGUAAGAAUAACUAGUCAACAAAAAUGGACUAACACUACUACGACGUUGGCAGCAUUAACAGCGACUACAGCGACGACAACAACGACUAAACGAAGCUUUAACAACGACGACGACUACGACGACACGACGGCGAGGACGACGAGGACGACGAGGCAGGAAGAGGAAGAAAUACUACUGCCUGUAAUAAGUGGCCAUUCGUGUUUAAUACCUGAUCGUCGUCGUGAUUAAAGAAGAUAAACACGCGUACAUACGUACAGACGACAGACGACAGACAGAUAUAUAUACAUACACAAAGGGUUAAAAUUAAAUUAAACAAAUAUAUGUUGUGGGCGUCCCCCGAAAAUACGGGGGCAUUUGAUGGCAACAGAAAUUGGGCGAAUUGCAAGCAAAUAUCAUCAAUCCUCGCCGUGCGCUAAAGUAGUGUCGUCGUUCACAAAUCGUCCAAGUGACGCUAAUAUUCAGAAUAGAUUGCAAGUUGCUAUCGAACUGAAAAACGAACAGCAGCAACAGCAACAGCAA
rnacentral:lncRNA from 1 species